rnacentral:rRNA from 1 species
CAGUAGCCGCGGUAAUACGGAGGGAGCUAGCGUUGUUCGGAAUUACUGGGCGUAAAGCGCGCGUAGGCGGUUACUCAAGUCAGAGGUGAAAGCCCGGGGCUCAACCCCGGAACUGCCUUUGAAACUAGGUAACUAGAAUCUUGGAGAGGUCAGUGGAAUUCCGAGUGUAGAGGUGAAAUUCGUAGAUAUUCGGAAGAACACCAGUGGCGAAGGCGACUGACUGGACAAGUAUUGACGCUGAGGUGCGAAAGCGUGGGGAGCAAACAGGAUUAGAUACCCCAGUAGUCCCUGUCUCUUAUAC